AAGGAUUGCUGACUGCUUAAAUGCACUGCAUAGAUGUGAAGUUCGGUUGCCGACGUGUGUAAAACAGGGUGCCUGCACUCUGUCAUUUUGUUGGAUGGUGCCUUCAUUCUGAGGAAUAAUCAAAUAAAUCAAUCAGUAUGGACAUUCAUAUUAUGCCAAAUAAGAGUGAAGGAGAAUUAACACCAGAGGAAAGAUGGAGAUUGGAACACAUAAAGAUGCAUGAGCAACAUCUAGGCCACGAGUCGAUGCAUGCUGAAAUGUUGCUCAUAUUAUUGGCAACAUUGAUUAUUGCUCAGAUUGUUUUAGUAAAAUGGAAGAUAAAGCACUAUAAAUCUUACCAGUUUGUAACAUUAAUAGCGUUAUGGAUAAUUCCAUUAGGUAUAUCAUCCAAAAACCGUUGGUGGCGAUUUAUAUUCCUUUGGCUAUUAUUUUCGUGUAUAACAGGAUUAGUAGUGCGAAAAGCCUUACAACAUCCAAUAAAAGGCACAACACCAAGAUUAGUUUACAAAUGGUUCUAUCUUAUUUACAUUCUGAGCUACAUACUGGGCAUUAUUGGUUAUUGCAUAAUGAUAGCUACACUCUUUGGCCUAAAUCUCGUGUUCGACGUAACGUCCCACGUAUGGAUGGAUUGUGGUAUAUUGUUCCUAUUUUAUGGACUCUACUUUGGCGUCUUGGGUCGUGACGUCGCUGAGAUAUGUGCCGACAAAAUGGCAUCCCAUAUUGGGUACUAUACACCAGAUAGCAUGCCAACCAGGACGUUGGAUCCAAGUGUAUGCGCGGUGUGCGGCAACAAGCUCCUAGUCUCUGAACAUGAGGAAGGCGUUAUCGAGAACACGUACAAGCUUAGCUGCGAGCACGUCUUUCACGAAUUUUGUAUCAGAGGCUGGUGUAUCGUAGGCAAGAAGCAGACGUGCCCGUACUGCAAGGAGAAAGUCGACCUCAAGAAAAUGUUCCGCAAUCCAUGGGAGCGGCCGCACGUUCUUUACGGACACGUGCUAGAUUGGUUAAGAUGGUUGGUCGCAUGGCAGCCAUUGAUACUGCUUCUAGUUCAGGGUAUCAAUUGGGCCCUAGGCCUCGAGUAAGUAUUAUAGAGGGUAUAGGUUCGCGACAAACACAACUAAAGUUAGCCUGUCCAUUUGAUCUCUAUGGUAGAAUCAUCUUCAGGUGGUACGUUUGUCGUGAAUAACCCUGUAUAAUAUUGCCUUCAUUGAAUAUAAGAAGCAGAAGCGUAGAGUACACUGCGCCAUAAUUGCAUCAGGAAUGGUUCCCUGUUUACCUGAACACUGUUAUUUGUGUAUCUUUAUACAUACAAAUAUUAGCGACAUUUUUUGUCGUUCCUAAUGGAACUUUCCAAGUGAGAACUAACUGAGAAUAUCUCAGAUUUGACUUCAUCGCGGGGACAUUAAUGUGUUAUCCAGUUUUUGUGAUAAUUAUUGUUCCCUUAUUAUUUUAUCCUUGCCACUCUUUGGUACCUAGUGCAUCGUUACUUUCCACUUAAACAAUUUUGUCUUAUUUAAUAUCUUCCUAUCUAGGUUUAUAAAUAAUGAUCGCAUCCACCAAUUGACUAUUGUUUGUACGUUAAUCUUUGACAAUUGUAUUUGGAAAUGGUUUUAUAGGUAUAAAACUAUGCACUGGCACCAUUGAUUAUGAUAUAUGUUACAGGUAUGUUGCUGUACAUAUGUCAUUACUUUGUUUUUCGUUUUUGUUUUGUUGACUUAACGGUCCAGUGGUGCGAGUGGUAGCUAAUUAAAAUAUGUUUGAUCGUGAAUAAUUUAUUAUAUUCAAUCGAUCUCUCAGAUGUAUAUGCAAUCAUCGAUAUUAUCCGUUCCUAUGGAUACCACUUAUUAUAAUAUGAACAUUUUACUUAGAUUUCUCACAUAAGGACAACAAAAAAUUUAAUGCCAGCUCCAAGCGCUUAAACAGAUCAGGAAAUGACAGCCAGUAGGUCUCCUGUAGUAUUUAAAAUAACAAAGUAAGAGAAGUUACCCUAGAGACUCUUCCCCUGGAGAGGGGUACGUAUUACGAAGAUUUUUGCGAAUGAAGAAAUCAAGUACUCAAUCCAGUAGCCUGAGAAACGUUUGAGCAUCCCGAUACGAAUCACCCAGAAUGGGACUGUGACGACUGAAUAAUUACCAAACCGAGUGCUAACAAACGAGGGACUACAGUAAAUAUAAAUAGACAGAGAGUGAUACACAGGAAUCUCAGGAAGAUAUCGGAGCCCACGUUUUCCAAGCAGAAGUGAUGGGAUUAACGAGAACAGGAUGUAUUUAAUUGUCAGAGGUAUUAAUAAUAAAUGAUUUAUCCAUCGAAAUGGGCACUUGGUAGGAACGACAA